AGACGUAGGGGGCGAGCGUUGUCCGGAAUUACUGGGCGUAAAGAGCACAUAGGCGGGUAAGAAAGUCAGAUGUGAAAGACCGUGGCUUAACUACGGGGUUGCAUCUGAAACUGCUAAUCUUGAGGGCAGGAGAGGUCAGUGGAAUUCCUGGUGUAGCGGUGAAAUGCGUAGAAAUCAGGAGGAACACCGGUGGCGAAGGCGACUGACUGGACUGACCCUGACGCUGAGGUGCGAAAGCGUGGGUAGCAAACAGGAUUAGAUACCCUGGUAGUCCACGCUGUAAACGAUGGAUACUAGGUGUGGGAGGUAUCGACCCCUUCCGUGCCGGAGCAAACGCAAUAAGUAUCCCGCCUGGGGAGUACGGUCGCAAGGCUGAA
rnacentral:rRNA from 1 species